rnacentral:rRNA from 1 species
UACGGAGGGUGCAAGCGUUAUCCGGAUUCACUGGGGUUAAAGGGAGCGCAGGCGGAUUGGUAAGUCAGUGGUGAAAGGCUUAAGCUUAACUUGGGAACUGCCAUUGAUACUAUCAGUCUUGAAUGUUGUUGAGGUUUGCGGAAUGGGUCAUGUAGCGGUGAAAUGCAUAGAUAUGACCCGGAACACCUAUUGCGAAGGCAGCAGGCUAAACAAAUAUUGACGCUGAGGCUCGAAAGCGUGGGGAUCAAACAGG